rnacentral:rRNA from 1 species
AUACGUAGGGGGCGAGCGUUGUCCGGAAUGAUUGGGCGUAAAGGGCGCGUAGGCGGCCCGGUAAGUCUGGAGUGAAAGUCCUGUUUUUAAGAUGGGAAUUGCUUUGGAUACUGUCGGGCUUGAGUGCAGGAGAGGUAAGUGGAAUUCCCAGUGUAGCGGUGAAAUGCGUAGAGAUUGGGAGGAACACCAGUGGCGAAGGCGACUUACUGGACUGUAACUGACGCUGAGGCGCGAAAGUGUGGGGAGCAAACAGGAUUAGAGACCCUGGUAGUCCACACUGUAAACGAUGAAUGCUAGGUGUAGGGGGUAUCGACCCCUUCUGUGCCGCAGGCAACACAAUAAGCAUUCCGCCUGGGGAGUACGGCAGCAAGGUUGAAACUUAAAGGAAUUGACGGGG